CACAUUUAGUGAAUGCAGCAAUCGGAUGAUUACGCAAGCUCGCUACAGAAAGGAUCACCGUAAAAUUAAACAAAUCGACCGCUUAAAGAGCUUCAUAUUGCAACACGACAACCACGUGAUCACCAGGAACGAUUCCGACAUUACGGUGCAAAACGGGAUCAUCUUGGGGACUUGGACCGAGUCAUAUGCCAGACAAAUCACAGGCUCAACUUAAAUCCCUUUUGAUCACUUCGGUCACAGGAUCAGCUCGUAGGGCCUGAGCCCAAGCAAAUUGUUCGCGCACCCACAAGCACACAUAGAAGGCCUUCAUAAAGAGGGCCUUUUAUUUACAGGCCAAAGCGUGGUUCAUCAAUCCCCACUCAUCAACUGAGUCAACUGCUAGAGGGCGCUGGAAAGGCGACACCUUGGACCACCUCACCAAGUUCCAGCGAGCAAAUUCGGUGGCGGUUCUGUCAGCUGGUGAACAGGCGCGAGU